UACGGGGGUGGCAAGCGUUGUUCGGAAUUACUGGGCGUAAAGGGCGCGUAGGCGGCUUUACAAGUCAGAUGUGAAAGCCCCGGGCUUAACUCGGGAAUUGCAUCUGAAACUGUCGAGCUUGAGUCCUGGAGGGGGUAGUGGAAUUCCCAGUGUAGCGGUGAAAUGCGUAGAUAUUGGGAAGAACACCUGCGGCGAAGGCGGCUACCUGGACAGUAACUGACGCUGAGGCGCGAAAGCUAGGGGAG
rnacentral:rRNA from 1 species